rnacentral:rRNA from 1 species
AUGAAGAAAAUACCCUACCGGAUCUACACAAGGACAAGAACUAACAAGCAGUUUUCACUUUCCCGACAUGGGCACAGGGGUGAUCGUCACCGACUACCGCACCCGGUGGGCAUCGUGCUCUUCAACAACUCGGAGAUGGACUUCACCGUGAAGCCCGGCGACUGCGUCACACAGAUGAUUUUCCAGGUGAUUGUGACGCUGGAGGUCGACGAGGUGGAGGACCUUGACGCCACCGUCAGGAGGUUGCCGAGGUGGAGGACCUCGAUGCCACCGUCUGGAGGUUGCCGAGACAGACUUAAGCAUAGAUACGAAUCCAUUUAUUAUCAAUGGCUUGCCGAUCCUCGGAUUUCAUGGCCUCAAACCAUUUCGCGGAAUCUGGAUGACUUAUGUUUCAUCAAGAAGAUAUACUCAUAUCUGCUCAAAUCAUCUGUGAAGUUCAGAGAAUAA